AUUUACAAGGUACACGAUUAGUGUAUGCUCUAGGACACAUAUAAUUAACAGAGACACCCCCAGGAAAUAGCCAAUCUCACAGUUAGCUAUGAUAUUCUCUGCUCUCCAAAAUUGUUCAAGUUUCAACAUUUGAAAUUCUUAAAGAACACCUAAAUUCCUUAACAAACAACACAAAACAAGCUCUUAACACAUAAUUGGGGUGGCUCUGAUACUAAUUGAAGGCUAGAAACCUGCAAUAGAAGAGAAAUACGAUAAAGGAAGCAAUUUUAA
rnacentral:misc_RNA from 1 species